rnacentral:misc_RNA from 1 species
UGCAAACCUUGGUAUCUUUGUAACUACAUAAUCAAUGGAUGGCUCAAAACUAGCUGGAGUCUUCUUUGUGAUAUCAUUAGGUAUCUGGUCCAGGGAGUAUCCCACUGAUAGCUUAGCAGCCAUCUUAGCUAUUGGAAAGCCAGUUGCUUUUGAGGCUAAAGCUGAAGACCUUGAAACUCUAGGAUUCAUUUCAAUUACCAUGACUUCACCAUCAACUGGAUUUACAGCAAAUUGCACAUUGGAACCACCACAUUCAACUCCAAUUUCCCUGAUGAUGGCAAUAGAAUAAUCUCUAAGUCGUUGGUACUCUUUAUCUGUCAAAGUUUGAGCAGGAGCCACUGUGAUCGAGUCCCCUGUAUGGACCCCCAUAGGAUCAAUAUUUUCAAUAGAACAGAUGAUAACCACAUUGUCAGCCAAGUCUCUCAUAACCUCAAGCUCAUAUUCUUUCCAACCUAACAAAGACUUCUCAACCAAAACCUGUGAUGUCAAACUAGCUGCUAACCCGGACUUACAUAUAGCCUCAAAUUCCUCUCUGUUAUAAGCAAUUCCACCACCAGUCCCACCCAAUGUAAAAGCUGGCCUAAUAAUCAAUGGGAACUCCCCAAUGUUAUUAGCUAUCUCAAAACACUCCUCCAAUGUGUUCCCAAUGCCCGAAGGUGGCGUCUUUAUCCCAAUAUUCUUCAUUGCCUGCUUAAACAAAUCUCUAUCCUCUGCCUUUUUAAUUGCAUCAAGCUUCGCCCCAAUCAACUCGACUCCAUACUUAUCAAGCACGCCACUCUCUGCCAAUGCUACAGCUAAAUUAAGAGCAGUUUGCCCACCCAUCGUUGGCAACAAGGCAUCAGGCCUCUCGUUCUCUAACACUUGCUCCACAAGGUCUGGUGUCAUAGGCUCGAUAUAAGUCCUGUCCGCCGUUUCUGGGUCGGUCAUAAUAGUUGCAGGAUUUGAAUUAAUCAAUAUCACCUCAUACCCUUCUUCCCUAAGAGCCUUACAAGCUUGAGUUCCUGAGUAAUCAAACUCACACGCUUGUCCUAUCACUAUUGGCCCAGCACCCAGUAUCAAAAUCUUCUUUAUAUCUGUUCUUUUCCCCAGUUUGUCCGUCCCAAGAAACCCCUUUUGAACAGUAUCAUCAUUGAUUUGCUCAUUUACAAUCGAAUGCACCCUUUUCUGCAAAUGGGUGUUACUGAAAACAUAUGGCCGAGAUUGGAGGUGCAAAAAUGAGGACUUUUUGUAAGUAGAGUGGGGGAACCAUGGGAAAAGCUGAGUUCUUGAUGAAUAUAUUCUGGAAGACGGAAGAACAUAGGAAGAAGAAGAUGAGAUGAGCCUAUAUGCAGCAUUUUCACAGCGAUUCAUGCAGUAAUCCAUCUUGAUAAACAACUUUUCAAAAGAACUGAAGAAAAUCGUCUCUGGAUUUUACAGAUUCGGCGAACGCUUUUUCUGGUUUUUGGCAGAGUAGAACAGGGGAGCUUUUUAGUAGAGUGAAGGAUAGAUGGUGGGUUCAACUGGUGCUAGGGUUUUCCGGUGCAUAUAGUA